CCUGAGAAACCCAAAAGAUCGAAUGGGGAGAUUCAUCGUCAGCGGCUCCGGUGCGUGUGCGGUUCGGGAUUUCGCGGGGCCUCGGCCUCGCGGGACUCGUCCGCAUUGUUAUUUUUAUGCCGGAGCUAGUCGGCGUGCACUUCUCCCCUAGUAGGACGUCGCGACCCGUCGGGUGUCGGUCUACGACCCGGGUGGGAGUCUGUCGUGCGUCGCGCUUCACGGUGCGUCAUGCGGCAGACCCCCGGAUGUCCGACCGACUGCCCGGCGGUACUCGCACGGUAUCGGGCCGCAAUCUUUGAACUGCGUCCGGCUUGUCGCAAGCGAGGUACAAGUUUCUCCCGGACGUACGGACCUCGCGCCGUCGCCGGGCUUGUCCAGCUGUUGGUCGACUUUGCUCUCGGACUGGCUCUCAAUUUAUACAUACCGGUCGGCGACGCUACUGCUUUGGGUACUUUCAGGACCCGUCUUGAAACACGGACCAAGGAGUCUAACAUGUGCGCGAGUCAUUGGGAUAUGUAAAGCCCAAGGGCGCAAUGAAAGUGAAGGUCGGCAUCGCGCCGACCGAGGGAGGAUGGGCAGCGUCACGAUGCUGUCCCGCACUCCCGGGGCGUCUCGUUCUCAUUGCGAGAAGAGGCGCACCCAGAGCGUACACGUUGGGACCCGAAAGAUGUG
rnacentral:rRNA from 1 species